GCUUUUGUACACACCGCCCGUCGCUACUACCGAUUGAAUGAUUUAGUGAGGUCUUCGGACUGGUACGCGGCAUCGACUCUGUCGUUGCCGAUGCUACCGGAAAGAUGACCAAACUUGAUCAUUUAGAGGAAGUAAAGUCGUAACAAGGUUUCCGUAGGUGAACCUGCGGAAGGAUCAUUA
rnacentral:rRNA from 1 species